UGGGGAAUAUUGCACAAUGGAGGAAACUCUGAUGCAGCGACGCCGCGUGAGUGAAGAAGGUCUUCGGAUCGUAAAACUCUGUCCUUGGGGAAGAAAGAAAUGACGGUAGCCAAGGAGGAAGCCCCGGCUAACUACGUGCCAGCAGCCGCGGUAAUACGUAGGGGGCGAGCGUUGUCCGGAUUUACUGGGCGUAAAGGGUGAGUAGGCGGUGAUAUGUGUCAGAUGUAAACGGCUAUGUCUUAACUAUAGUUAGCAUUUGAAACUGUAUUACUUGAGUGAAGGAGAGGUAAGUGGAAUUCCUAGUGUAGCGGUGAAAUGCGUAGAUAUUAGGAGGAACACCAGUGGCGAAGGCGACUUACUGGACUGUAACUGACGCUGAGUCGCGAAAGCGUGGG
rnacentral:rRNA from 1 species